GGUCAGGUAGCCCAGUGGUUAAGGCGUUGCCUUUACAGAAUAUCUCUUCUGUACGGCAAAGGUCGUGGGUUCAAUCCCCACCCAGAUCA